rnacentral:tRNA from 1 species
GUUCCUGCAGCUCAAUGGUUAGCGCAUCUGAACACUGUUAUAGAAGUUGUAGGUUUGAUUCCUACCUGGAACU